AUGAUGGAACUAGGGCUUCGGGAGGAGGAACUGGACAAUGUCAUCUUUGAUGAGAAGGAAGCUCCGCUGGAAUCGCCAAGGUGGGUAGCGUUGAUCAAGGUCAAUACAAGCAAACCCUACAGUCAAACAUGGUUCUUCAGGGACAUGAGGUCAGCCUGGGAUGUUGCUCAAGAAGCAAAGUUCAAACCUUUGGAGGAUAAUCUGUACUCUGUCCAGUUUACGUGUUUGGGAGACUGGGAACGCGUCAUGGAAGGAGGGCCAUGGAACUUCCGCGGAGAUGCGGUACUCCUAGCUCCUUAUGACGGAAUAACAAAACCCUCGACGAUCAAACUUGAGACCAUCGAUAUUUGGAUCCAAAUCCAUGACGUGCCGGAUCUAUAUGCACAACUAAUCCAGCCCCUAGCGGCAAAGGUUGGUGAAGUUCUAUUCGCUGAAACACAGUCCCAUGAUUUCAUAGGGAGUUUUUACCGUAUUUGGGUACGAAUCAAUGUGCACAAACCCCUCAAGAAUGCAGUAUCCAUGAUCAGAGAAGGAAAGAGACAGAUUUACAAAGUAAAGUAUGAAAGACUCCCUGACUGGUGUGCUGUUUGUGGGAUGCUUCGUCACCUAUACAAGGAACACGUGAAGGAAAUAUGCCCUGGAGGCAAUAAUAAAGUUCUUAUUUAUAUUUCCUUAUAUCAUAAUAAAUGUUUAUUAUUCAUGCUAGAAUUCUAUUAA
rnacentral:rRNA from 1 species